CUCCGAUGAGCAGACAGGAUAUCAGGAGCUAGACUAGCAGAGUUCCUGCACGUACUGGAGAUGCACGUGUUUCCUAUCCUUUUCUCCCCUGUUGUUGUUUUAAUUGACCCACCGUUUUUAAGAAGUCCUAGCUGACUGGUAUACUAUGGCAAUACAAUAGAAUGGAGUCACUUCCUAGCGUUUGGAAACUAAAUGAUAAAUCUAGUUGAGCAUUUCUGUUUGCCUUUUUUCAGGUGCUCAGAAUUUUGAUGUCAUACGACUAUCAACUUACAGAACAGCCUGCAAAUUACGAUUUGUACAAAAACGAUGCAACCUUCAUCUUGUUGAUAUCUGGAACAUGAUUGAAGCCUUCCGAGACAAUGGCCUUAAUACACUGGACCAUACCACCGAGAUCAGUGUGUCCCGCCUCGAAACUGUCAUCUCCUCCAUCUACUAUCAGUUGAACAAGCGCCUUCCUUCUACUCACCAAAUUAGUGUGGAACAAUCUAUCAGCCUCCUCCUCAACUUUAUGAUUGCUGCAUAUGACAG
rnacentral:sRNA from 1 species